rnacentral:rRNA from 1 species
ACGGGGGGUGCAAGCGUUGUUCGGAAUUAUUGGGCGUAAAGAGCGUGUAGGCGGCCUGAUGUGUCAGAUGUGAAAGCCCUGGGCUUAACCCAGGAAGUGCAUUUGAAACUGUCAGGCUCGAGUAGGGGAGAGGGAAGUGGAAUUCCUGGUGUAGAGGUGAAAUUCGUAGAUAUCAGGAGGAACACCGGUGGCGAAGGCGACUUCCUGGCCCUAUACUGACGCUGAGACGCGAGAGCGUGGGUAGCAAACAG